AACGACUCUCGGCAACGGAUAUCUCGGCUCUCGCAUCGAUGAAGAACGUAGUGAAAUGCGAUACUUGGUGUGAAUUGCAGAAUCCCGCGAACCAUCGAGUCUUUGAACGCAAGUUGCGCCCGAAGCCUUCUGGCCAAGGGCACGUCUGCCUGGGUGUCACUC
rnacentral:rRNA from 1 species